rnacentral:lncRNA from 1 species
UUAGCUCCUCAACAAAUGUUUAUUGAAUACUCAUUGUGUGCAAGGCAUUAUGUUAAAUGUGAUGGGAAAUUAGUACAUGGCCCCCAGGAAAUGUAGUGGUCAUGGAAACAAAACCACUACCAAAAUGAUGAUGGGUAGAAAUACUUAAAGAAUGAUAAUCUUAUCUUGCUGCCUUAUCUGCACUUAGGAUAAUCCUACUUGGAAAUUCCACGUGAAAAGUAGGAACAAAAGUGCAUGGUUAUCUCUGUGUCUACAUUAUACAUACACGCACAUGUGAACACAUUGUAGUCAAGGGCAAACCUACCCCAAGUCUAAACAGAAGGGGGAAAUGUUCUUUUUCACCAGAAUCAUAGUGUUAGAAUUCUUGGCAGUUCAGAUGAUCUCUGCCAUAGCUGUUGGUUUACAUUUUGAUAAUUUACCAAUGAGCAUGUAAUGUUUAAUUCUUAGUUGGGUUGUGGCACCAAACACAGCAUUUCCAAUGAAACACACUGCAAAUGUGAAAGUAAGAGUUUUCCUUGGGAACGAGCAGCUCACUUACUCAUCGGUUCUUCUGGGAGUAGGAGUGCGACCUAGAGGUUAGAAGUUCUGAAACAGAAGAAGGAAAUCAGACCAUGUGACAGUGAACAGGAAAGGAGGUGCUUAAUACUCCCGCUCCUUUGCAGUGAGCUUGGCUUUUCCUCCUUGGUCUGGGGCCCUUUGGCUUCCCAUAUCCUGGCAUGAUUUAGGGAAGCAGGCACUGACCUUCUGGUGCCCUCUCUUUCAUUUUACUCCAGGCAUAUUACUAAGCAAAAUACAUUGUCAUAUUUCUGUGGCUAAAGCGUUUCAGAUUUUGGUACUGAGCCUUUGUAUUUAAGCUUAAUAGGGCAAAAGAGCUAGCAUUUUGUGGACGUCACUGACCCUUUACCACAAUUGAGGUUUUUUUUGUUUUUGUUUUUGUUUUUUUUUGCUUUUUAGGGCCCCACCUGCAGCAUAUGGAAGUUCCCUUGGCUGGGGGUCAAAUCAGAGCUACAAUUGCCGGCCUACACCACAGCCACAGCAACAUCAGAUCUGAGCUGCAUCUGCAACCUACACCACAGCUCACGGCAACACUGGAUCCUUAACCUAUUGAGUGAGGCCAGGGAUCUAACCCACAUCCUCAUGGAUACUAGUCAGUUUUGUUACCUCUGAGCCACAACAGGAACUUCCACAAUUGAGAUUUUUAUAGAAACCUUACAUAAACUUCAUUGCACCUGAUGAUGGCAGCUGAGCCGGUCACUAAUUAGGACUAUGAGUACUUGGCUGUUGCUCUUUUUGACUCUGCUCUGGGUUUUGUUUAUUUAUUUUUUAUGGCUGCACUCAUGGCAUAUGGAAGUUUUCUGGGCCAGGGAUUGAAUCUGAGCCACAACUGUGAUUUACGCUGCAGCUGUAGCAAUCCUAGAUUGUUUAACCUGCUCUACUGGGCUGGGGAUCAAACCUGAGUCUCUGUGGUGACCCAAGCCACUGCAGUCAGGUUCUUAACCCACUGCACCACAGUGGGAACUCCUGCUCUGGAUUUUAGCUUAUUUCAUUAAAUCUGCUGCUGAUUUUCAUUGUCUGCACGCACAUGGUUGCAAAUGUAACUCUCUCCUGAAGCAGCCAGUGCUUUGGCUCCAUUGUCCUGUAAAGGCUGGGGAAAUCAGUUGAAAAGAAGCUAAGGUAGAAGUGGUGUGUAAGCCACGCUGUCAGGCUUGCUCUCCAUGCGCUCACCACCUUCAGGCCCUCAAGCCCAGAGAUGGCUUCAGGUCUGUGCCUAGGGCUGGGUCACACAGACUCGGAGAAUUAAGUGACAUCUGAGCCAGAGCUGGCACCGUUAUACCGACUUGCUAAUAAUUCACAAUGAAUCAUCACUGAUAGAUCCUCAGGCCCCUGCGAUUAGCACAUGCUCUUUGUCAAGCUACCUGGGAAUGUAGAUAAUACUUGGAAGCUCCUCUGUUGAUUGAUUCACCUUGAGAAAUUGCUGCUCUCUGGAUGCUGGUAGUGCAUGGGUCAUAGCACCCAAGUGUCCUCAAGAAACGCUUUAUAGGGACUUGAGUAAUUGCUCAGUGAGCAAGGAGCCAGAAUAAGGAAGGUAUCUUUCUUUCUUUCUUUCUUUCUUUCUUUCUUUCUUUCUUUCUUUCCUUUUUUUUUUUUUUUCUUGUCUUUGUGUCUUUUCUAUGGCCGCAGCCAUGGCAUAUGCAGAUUCCCAGGCUAGGGGUCUAAUCGGAACUGCAUUCGCCAGCCUACACCAUAGCCACAGCUACGCAGGAUCCGAGCCGCGUCUGCGGCCUACACCACAGCUCAUGGGAACGCCGGAUCCUCAACCCACUGAGCAAGGCCAGGGAUCAAACCCGCAACCUCAUGGUCCCUAGUCGGAUUUGUUGACCACUGAGCCAUGACGGGAACUCCAAGGGUAUUUUUACAGUGAAGCUACUUUCUAACUCCCAACAGCUGUGACACUGUCCAUAUUCACUUUAGUAUCUGUAUUUCCCUACCUGAGCCAGCCCAGGCCCCCUUUUGAAGACAUAAUCUAUUCUUAAAUAUAGAUGAAGUAUAGUUCACAGGUAUUGGCUGGGGCAGGGGGCAGCAGCGGUGGUGGUGGUGGUACUUUGCUUUCUCCAUUCAUGUUGUAGGUUCACAUUCUAAUCCCUGGAGUUUUUGUUCUUACCAUAAACCUCUGACUAGGCAAUCUCUUGCCCCAUUUCCAAGUUCCUGGUGGGGCGUAGUGGUGUCAAUCUUCUUAUACUCCUCACUGUACUCUUUCUAAGACCCUUGGACACUUUAAUAAACGUCUCAGGAAUUAUACCUUCAGAGCAGGCACCGUGACCUGCUGAGCAAUAUGGAGGCAUUCGUCCAGAGCAAGAGCAGGCAAACCACAUUGGCCUGCUGCCUGUUUUUGUCAAUAAAGUUUUAUUGGAACACAGCCAUGUCCAUUCAUUUAUCUAGUGUCUGGGGGUGCUUUCGCAGUACAACCACAGGCCUGAGUUGAGUAGUUGCAAAAGGGAUCGUGAGCCAACAAAGCCUGAAAUUAUUUACUCUUGGGUGCAUUUCAGAAAGCAUUUGCCAACCUCGGUCUAUAGAAUUUGCAAGUCAUAGAAUUGCAGCAAGUAAGAACUAGAAGCCCGCCCCCCCCCCCCCCCCCCGCCAAAUUCAGUGAGCACAUGGAGGAUUAGAGAAAGAAUGAGACUUGCAUAAAGGUCACGGAGGUGCUUAGUUGGAGAGCCAGAACCUGAACUCAGAUUUUCCAAUUCCUGGGGUAAAGACUGGCCUCCUGCUUUUGGAGGUGGGGUAUUGUGAGUUUUACGGUUUACAGAUGAUCCACCAUUACAACAUACUGAAAUAAAGCUUCUUGAGUGGCAGGAGCUAUUUUCCAUACUGACUUCGCCAGCUAAGGUCACCAGCCAGGCAUCUACCAGACCCUAAGGGCUAGGGACACUGAUUAAUAAAUAGCAUCCUUUCUCUCAGGAAAUGUGGAUGAGAGAAAGAGUCAGGCAUUUGCACAUCCUUUCAUUUGCAGUGUGUUAAAUGUCAUCUUAGGGCCACGGUCAUGUGAAAGGAAGGAUGUGUUUGUUCAGCCGUGAGGGGUAGGGGGGUUGUCCGAUGUGGCUCUACAGAGUUGGAGACGUUUGAGUUGGGUCUCAAAAGGAUGGAGUCCUUCAGGCAGACAUUUGCAAAUGGACGUGGCUUGGGGGCCUGUAGGCCUGAAGUCCAGUAGUUUGGGAAUACUUGAUGACCCACAGCCAGAGGUGUAGGGUAUGUGGCAAGGGUGGGACAAGAAACCCAGCUGGAAAUGAAGGUUGGAUGCAAAUUGUGGAGCCCUUGGCGUUCAUGAGAAAGACUUUCGUUUACAUUCUGGAGGUUUCUCACCUAUAGAUCUCAGAGCCCAUGAGAGAUUACCGUUCUUAUACAGGAAGGCCUCUCUAUCCACAUGCAUGGGAAACAUUGUCCAUAGAUUUCAUACUAUCACUAACAGGCGUUCCCACUGUGGCUCAGCCACCUAAGGACCCAACGUUGUCUCUUGAGAAGGUGGGUUGGAUCCCUGGUCUUGCUCAGUGGGUUAAAGAGCUAGCAUUGCCACAAGCUACAGCAUAGGUCACAGGUGGGCUUGGAUCCAGUGUUGCUGUGGCUGAGGCAUAGGCCUGCAGGUGCAGCUCCAAUUCGGCCCCUAGCCCAGGGACUUCCACGUGCCACAAGUACAGGUGUACAAUAAACAAAUAAAUAAAAAGAUGUGGUACAUAUAUAUAUAUACAAUGAAAUACUACUCAGCCCUAAACAAGAACAAAAUAAUGCCAUUCGCAGCAACACAGAGGCAACUAGAGAUUCUCAUACUAAGUGCAGUAAAUCAGAGACAAAUACCACAUGCUCUCACUUAUAUGUGGAAGCUAAAGUCUGGCACAGAUGAGCCUAUCGACGAAUCAGAAGCAGAUUCACGGACAUAGAGAAGAGACUCAUGGUUGCCAAGGGGGUGUGGGAGGUUGGGGUUAGCAGAUGUAAGCCAUUAUCUAGAGGAUGGAUAAACAACAAGGCCCUGCUAUACAGCACAGGAAACUACAUGCAGCAUCCUAUGAUAAACCAUAAUGGAAAAGAA